rnacentral:piRNA from 1 species
UUCCUUACUUCCUCAUUAAAU